CCUGACGGUAGUCGUAUGCUCGUCUCCGAGACUAAGCCAUGCAAGUCCAAGUACACGUCCUUGAACGACGGAAACUGCGAACGGCUCAUUAAAUCAGUUGCGAUCUACUCGGCGUUCCGCGCCGCCGGAUAACCGUAGUAAUUCUAGGGCUAAUACGUGCGAAGCGCCCGAAGCCGCGAGGCGACGGGCGUUCUCGCCGGAUGUAGGAACCGACCCGGGGACCGCCGGGGCAACCCGGCGCCCCCGAGACGGGGCGAACCACGGUGAAAUGACGGAUCGUCGGCCCCGCGCCGGCGACUCGCCGAAUGAGUUUCUGACCUAUCAACUCGAGACGGCGGGGUAGAGGCCCGCCGCGGUAACGACGGGUAACGGGGAAUCAGGGUUCGAUUCCGGAGAGGGAGCCCGAGAAACGGCUACCACUUCCAAGGAAGGCAGCAGGCGCG
rnacentral:rRNA from 1 species